UUUGAAAAGUUCCAAGGGAGGGGUGGGUUGGGGGCCUCCAAGGGGGGGCACGUGGCCGAUCUGGUUUUCGCAUCGACUCACACCUGUGCCCCUCUGUAGUCCUAUGGUUCGGAAGAGCCCGUCUUCCUUCUGUAGCUCUACGUCUUUACACACACACUGUAGCGAUGUCUCAUGGAAUGUUUUUAUGCGUUUAACGCGAUACAAUACAACUUUCACAACGGAUCUCUUGGCUCUCGCAUCGAUGAAGAACGCAGCGAAAUGCGAUAAGUAAGUGAAUUGCAGAAUUCAGUGAAUCAUCGAAUCUUUGAACGCACCUUGCGCCUUGGUAUUCCUUGGAGCAUGCCUGUUUGAGUAUCAUGAACACCUCAAUUUCAUGGUCUUCCAUGAUGAGCUUGGACUUUGGGGGUUUGCUGGCCCUGCGCCGGCUCCUCUCAAAUGAAUCAGCUUGCAGUGUUGGUGGCAUCACGGGUGUGAUAACUAUCAAGCUCGCGGUCGUCUGCCAGGUAACCCUCAGCGAUGAGGGUCAUUGGAGCUCAUAAACGCUCUCCUCGCGAAGGCAACUUUUGAACGGCGAUCUCAAAUCGGUAAGAUACCCGCUGGAACAAAAGCAUAUCAAUAAGCGGAGGAAAUCUGGGUCUUUACAAGAAAAAAGCAAAAAC
rnacentral:misc_RNA from 1 species